AUCUCUCAACACAAGAAAUUCACUUCUUGUGCUUGGAUAUUGAAGGUUUUGCUGGCGCAAAUAACUGUCAGCUCCUUUUAAAUGUAUUAGCAGAGCAGUGUUAGGACUGGCCUCAGUUUGAUAAGAAGUUAUCUAUGCUGUCGCUGGGUUUCCUCUUUGCUUAGCUUCAAAUUGUCUUUGGACUGCCUUUCAAGGCAAUAAAUCUUUGUU
rnacentral:misc_RNA from 1 species